rnacentral:tRNA from 1 species
GGCGCGCUCGAUCAAGUAUUUGGCUCGCUGGGCUCAUAACCCAGAGGUCGUAGGUUCAAAUCCUGCCCCCGCUACCA